AUUGAACGCUGGCGGCAGGCCUAACACAUGCAAGUCGAACGAGUGGCGGACGGGUGAGUAAUGUCUGGGAAACUGCCUGAUGGAGGGGGAUAACUACUGGAAACGGUAGCUAAUACCGCAUACCAUCAGAUGUGCCCAGAUGGGAUUAUCUAUUUGGUGGGGUAACGGCUCACCAAUGCGACGAUCACUAGCUGGGCUGAGAGGAUGACCAGCAAGACUGGAACUGAGACACGGUCAAGACUCCUACGGGAGGCAGCAGUGGGGAAUAUUGCACAAUGGGCGCAAGCCUGAUGCAGCCAUGCCGCGUGUAUGAAGAAGGUCGUCGGGUUGUAAAGUACUUUCAGCGGGGAGGCGUUACCCGCAGAAGAAGCACCGGCUAACUCCGUGCCAGCAGCCGCGGUAAUUC
rnacentral:rRNA from 1 species